ACCUAUGUUCCUCCUGAGCUUCGCGCUUCCUCGUCCAGUGAAGAAGAGGGGUCCCGGGUCACCGUGGAAUCCAAGAUGACUUUCCCUGAGCCUAUGCAGAAGGAUUCGGAAUCUGAUUGAUAGGAGUUUAGGAUUUUUCCAUGUAGCCUUGGUUUCUUCUUGUUGUACUUUUCAUUUGCUGCUAAUAAUAAAGAUUUUCUUUCUUGCUUUGAGUAGAAUGCAUUACUUUUAUUUAUUUAUUUUUUUCUUGAUUUUUUGGUUUCUUCUUGUUGGGCGUUGUUUUGGAUAUCUUCGC
rnacentral:lncRNA from 1 species